AAGUGAAAGCAUUGUGUCAUCGUUGCCAAGAUUUGUUGCACCUAGAACAUAAGUACCUCCGACUUCAUCACUACAUAUCACCCCUAUGAGAGUCAGAGAUGCAUCGUAGGACCACAAGCAAGUCGCAAACCCGAAAAAGGAUGGCUUGCCAAAAACUAGAGGCUUGUAGUUUAGCAUUCAAUGUAUCAUGCGAAACAACAUCCAAUAAGAUGGUGCAUGGCCUCUAGGUGACACCUUAAGUAAGGAAACAAUGUUGAUCGUCACUGUCAUCUAUCUAGGAACCAUAGGUAGAGUUUACUCAAAAGAAUCUAGAAGGAUGAGGAGAUGCAUUUGGAUGACACUUUCAAGGAAGGGAACAAUACCCAAAGUGUCACCACCAUUAGCUCCACCUAAUGCCAUCCAGGGCUUUCGCCAAACGUUCCUCCUCAUAAAGAAGCCACACACCAAACAUCGGACGGUCCUACAAGCACCAAGAUGCAUGGUUAUAAACCGAUGUGUGCGGCCAACACAACAACUCCCUCAAAGCUAUGUGAACUUGCCAACCAUUCACACUGCAUGUAGCUCACCACAUGAGCUCCAUAAACCACUGCAUAUGUAGGCCAUGCCAUAACAAAGACUCUAUGACCAAGAGCCAGGAAGUUAACUUCUCUCAUGGAUAUAGAUUAUAAUAAUAAGUUGAUAGAUACUAUAACUCUCCUUUUUAAACUAUACAAUAAAAAUGAUGUAGUAUAUGGUUUUGUCAGGUUGAAAAAGGUUGUCCCUCCAACCCUUUCUAAUAAGAAAGAAUAGCUUGGGAUGAUUUUUUUGAUGAUGACGAUGAUACUGGUAUGCUUGGAGGUAGUUGUUCGACCUUUCCUCCUAAUCUUGAUUUUUCUUGGAUUGUUCCUACUUUCCUACCGCUACCUUCUACAGGCAACAAGUUCUGCUUCUAGCAGUGGUGGUAGUUCUAAACUUGCAACCUAUCUAGACCGUGACAUUUUUUAUUAUGGAAACAAAAUGUUCCCGCCUUUUGCAAUCUCUUGCAUACGGCCUACAAAUCAAAAAAUGACAAACAUCCAUCAUAAAGAUUCUCAGAAAAAAAACAUCCAUGAAUCAAGCUCCCUCUAGCCUAGCGUUAGACCUCCAUCCAUGGUUUGCAAAGAUCUCCAUAUCCACCACCUCUAAAGAUCAACAUAUCGCAAGGACCUCAUGUUGAGAUUGUUCUUUUCGCAACAAUCUCUAGAAUCUGAGCCAGUAUGUUCUCCUUAAAAGAAUCUGCGUAAUUGAUGGUUUUUUGGCUUAAAGUUAAAGACAACAUCAUAGCGACAUAGCCAAAUAAACCAAAACAUUGCCGCCACUCCAAUUAGGAGUUUUUUUCCUAUGCGCAGUUCCUUUGUUAGCAUUCCAAGACCCAAUUAUAUGAUUAAUACUAUUGGGCCUCUCUAAAUUUAAGACAAAGUAAAUAAUAUCUAAAUAUUUCUAGCAAGGUAACAAUCAAAUAACAGAUGUUGAAUAGUCUCAUUUUGAUUACAAAAGUUGCAUUUCAACCUACCUUUCCAACCACGCUUAGCUAAGUUGUCUUUUGUGAGAGUCCCUUGCCUAAAUACCACAAUAAAAUUUUAAUUUUAAGAGGAAACUUUAGACUCUAAAGUAAAUUAUGAUUUACAGGAGGAGUAUUCAUUAAAAGAGUGUACAUUGAGUGCACUGAGAAAAGCCCAUCUGUAUGGGGCCCCCAAAUAAAUUUGUCUCUCGAGUCUCCCAAAUGAACCAUUGACAUCAUAUUUAAUAAAUUAUAUCAUUCAACCAAUUUCAUCCGACAAUAGCUCUACAUAGUCACCCAGUUAGAUGAGGAGUUCAACAUCACGGACUAGUGUCAUAAACACAAAGUAACUUACCCGUCCUUUCAAUACUUGAUAAAUACAUUUUAAUCAUACCUGUUUCAACCAUUUCUUCAUAGUUUACCUUCGGCACAAUUGGUAGGAUCGUCGAGGAACGGCAGCAGAGACUGAGGUCCCCUUUAGAAUGCAGGAUUGGUAAAAUACGGGAAUAGGAAAAACGGAGGAAUGGAGUUGCACGACAAUUACAAUCCUACAUGAAUUAAAAAUACAGAAAAACUUCUUAAUAGAGUGUUUGGAUGCAAUACAGGAAGAACAUAAGAAUUAGAGGAGAGAGAUAGACAAAAAGGAAAGUUUCCAAGAGGUUGGACGUCUUGUUAGAAAUCUUCUAAAAUCUCACUACAAUGAGCAAUCCAAUAGGAAUUUUAUAGGAUUUGUGGGAACUCAAUUCUUUGUUCCAAAGGACUACAAAUAAAAUUUUCCUAUAUGAUUUCAAUUCUCCAAAAUUCAUUUACUUUUCCUUUGUUCCAAAGGGGCUGAACUCUAAAACUGUGAAACACUCACCUGUGUCAGGGACUGGGAAGCUGCAGAAUCAAGGCUUCAACAUAUGGUGGAGGAUAAGGAGUUGGAGGAGGCCAAUUUGCAAGCCGGAGGCCCCGGGCCAACCACGCCACUUGCCCGGUGAAACGAGAGGAUAAGAAACGCUGCCGCGAAGUAGCAAAGAAGCUGCGGGAAGAUGGAAGUAAUACGUGCUUGUGCAGUUGUGUUCUGGAGUACCAUCUUGUCCUAUCUGUCUUGGCCCGGCACGCGCCCCGGUCGCGUGGACCGUGAGAGAAGCCAGAAGAACCAAAGCAAAUCACCGUGAGAGAAGCCAGAAGAACCAAAGCAAAUCAGCAUGACGCGAUCCCAGCCGACGCCGCGCGCGCAACGCUCUCGUCUCC
rnacentral:lncRNA from 1 species